rnacentral:rRNA from 1 species
CCCGCUGAACUUAAGCAUAUCAAUAAGCGGAGGAAAAGAAACUAACAAGGAUUCCCCUAGUAACGGCGAGUGAACCGGGAAGAGCUCAAAUUUGAAAUCUGGCAGUCUUCGAUUGUCCGAGUUGUAAUCUAUAGAAGCGUUUUCCGUGCUGAACUGUGUAUAAGUCCCUUGGAACAGGGUAUCAAAGAGGGUGACAAUCCCGUACUUUACACAAUCAUCAGUGCUCUGUGAUACGUUCUCUACGAGUCGAGUUGUUUGGGAAUGCAGCUCAAAAUGGGUGGUAAAUUCCAUCUAAAGCUAAAUAUUGGCGAGAGACCGAUAGCGAACAAGUACCGUGAGGGAAAGAUGAAAAGCACUUUGGAAAGAGAGUUAAACAGUACGUGAAAUUGUUGAAAGGGAAACGAACGCUACGUAUCAUGUUUAUUGGACUCAGCCGAUCUUCGGUGUACUUCCUUUAAACGGGUCAACAUCAGUUUUGUCCGAUGGAUAAAGGUAGUAGGAAGGUGGCUCUCUCGGGAGUGUUAUAGCCUAUUGCCGCAUACAUUGGAUGAGACUGAGGACUGCAGCUUGCCUUUAUGGCCGGGGUUCGCCCACGUUCAAGCUUAGGAUGUUGACAUAUACUCGAGCGCACGCCCCGUCUUGAAACACGG